CCUACGGGAGGCAGCAGUGGGGAAUUUUGGACAAUGGGCGCAAGCCUGAUCCAGCCAUGCCGCGUGCGGGAAGAAGGCCUUCGGGUUGUAAACCGCUUUCGGCCGGAACGAAGUCGCCCGGGUGAACAUCCCGGGUGGAUGACGGUACCGGAAGAAGAAGCACCGGCUAACUACGUGCCAGCAGCCGCGGUAAUACGUAGGGUGCGAGCGUUAAUCGGAAUUACUGGGCGUAAAGCGUGCGCAGGCGGUCUCGUAAGACAGGUGUGAAAUCCCCGGGCUCAACCUGGGAACUGCGCUUGUGACUGCGAGGCUGGAGUGUGGCAGAGGGAGGUGGAAUUCCACGUGUAGCAGUGAAAUGCGUAGAGAUGUGGAGGAACACCGAUGGCGAAGGCAGCCUCCUGGGCCAGCACUGACGCUCAUGCACGAAAGCGUGGGGAGCAAACAGGAUUAGAUACCCUGGUAGUCCACGCCCUAAACGAUGACGACUAGUUGUUGGGGUAGAAGUACCUUAGUAACGCAGCUAACGCGUGAAGUCGUCCGCCUGGGGAGUACGGUCGCAAGAUUAAAACUCAAAGGAAUUGACGG
rnacentral:rRNA from 1 species